rnacentral:lncRNA from 1 species
UUUUUUGUUUGUUUUUUUUUUUUUUUUGGAGACAGGAUCUCACUCUGUCACCCAGGCUGUCACCCAGUGGCACGAUCUUGGCUGGAGUGCAGUGGCACAAACUCCACCUUCUGGGUUGAAGUGAUUCUCCUGUCUCAGCCUCCCGAGUAGUUGGGACUACAGGUGUGUGUCAUCACACCUGGCUAAUUUUUGUAUCUUUAGUAGAGCCAGGGUUUCACUACGUUGGUCUCAUCUCAAACACCUAGCCUUAAGCCAUCUGCCUGUCUCAGCCUCCCAAAGUGUUGGGAUUACAGACAUGAGCCACUGCAUCCAACCAGGGUGUACUCUUAGCAAGCAGCAGAGUGACGACUGGAAUGCAUGAUGUAAUCCCUUGCUACUUUUCUGGUUUGAUAUCCUUACCAGGCCAUCUCUUGGUGAUCCCAUUGAACUUCUGGCUCUUCCUCUCAAAGCCAAGCAUGCUCUCUGCUAGUCCUGAGUGCGCUCUUUCCUCUGUUGGACUCCCCUUGCCUCUGAUAACUGUGUGGGUUUCUCCUUCCCUUCAACCCUUGAACAGGUCUCUGUUCAAAUAUCCUUUUUCAGUGAGGUCUUUAACUCUCCUAUCUAGAAUGGCAUCCUUAGCCCUUAUUGAUCUUUAUCUCCAGCAGCCUGCCUCAUUUUUCCUUUUAGUUUAGCAGCUAUUUAUUUUGGCCUGGACCUCUUUUUUUUUUUUUUUUUAGAGAUAAGGUCUUGCUCUGUUGCCCAGGCUAUGGCUCAAUCAUGGCUCAUUGCAGCCUUGAAUUCCUGGACUCAAGCAAUUCUCCUGCCUCAGCCUCCUAAGUACCUGAAACUACACCUGUGUGCCACUACACCCAGCUAAUUAUUUUACUUUUUGUAGAGAUGGAGGUCUCGCUAUGCUGCCCAGUCUUGUCUUAAACUCCUGGCCUCAAGCAGUCUUUCUGCCUCAGCCACCCAAAGUGCUGGGAUUAUAGGCAUGAGCCCUAAUGCCUAGCCCAUGGACCUCUCUUCUGAACUCCAAGCUGUGAUAACCAAUUUCCAACUUGACAUAUCCACUUGGCUGUCUAUAAACUUCCUCAAAUUUACCAUAAACUUCCAAAAAUGAGCCCUGAUCUUCCUCCCACCUUCCUUCAAUCUGUUAUUCUUGCAGUCUUCUUUAUUUCAAUGAAUGGGACCUCUAGUCUUCUAAUCUCUCAGAGUAAAAGCUUAGGGUCACCUUUCACUUCUCUUCUUUUCUCUCUUCUCCUGCCCAACCUGUCAGGAAAUCCUGUUUUCUACCCUCAACUUAGAUCCCAGCUCCAAACACUUCUCACUGCCUCCAUGGGGUUACCCCGUCCUCCUCACCAUCACUGCUUCUCACCGAGAUUAUUGUGAUAAUUUCCUCACUGAUCUCCCUGCUUCUGCUCUAGGUUUCUUCAGCUUAUUCUCUGCAUAGCAGUCAAAGUGAUCUUGU